GAACAAUAGUUGAUGUAAGAAUACGCGCGACGUAAUUACUGAUUCGUACAAACGAUUUAUUUUGCUUAAAGUUAUAUAACAUAUUACUAUUAUGUAUUCUCAUAUUUUUAGUUUUUCAUGGAAUUUGCAAUUGACUUAUUCUUGAUAAAGAUUUUAAAAAACUCAAAGGACAAAAUUUUCCAAAAAGCGCCUUGCACGCGAUUUCUACUAUCAUGUUGUAUGUAAAUUACCGAUGUAGAAAAUAUGACAGGGAGAUCAAUUAUAAGAAAUUGCAAGUAUGCAAAUUCAAAUGCCACUGUCGAUUUGCGUAAAGAAUGUGUAUCAUAACAUCAGUCAAUUUAAAUGAGUGACACUUUUUUUCUGCAAAAAAUUGUAUCUAGUUAUUAAGUGAUCGUUACGUCGUUUUUAAAGGAUGUGAUUUGCCCAUCGGGCAUAAAACUAAACGCGCAAAUGUUGAUCGUCUUUUUUCCCGAACACGUAGAUUUACUUCGCCGUCCUUGUAACUAUUUACGAAUAGAUUUGCAUAAACUAUCAUUUAUUCCUCGGAUUUCACGUCGUGUCACGUGCGUGAUAUAAUAACCCAUUCAUCAUAAAUGCAUCAUGCAUGAUGUAUCUGUACUGCGAUGGACAUAAACAUAAAUGAAUAUUGAAUCGAUAUUAUUCGAUACUCCAAUUCGAUGUUUCAAUAUUAUUAUACAAUCUUAUGAAAAUAUGCAAAAUAAAACGUUAUAAAGUUGCAUUGUGUAACGAAGCCAUAUCAAAAUUCUAUAAGUCUGUCAGCAAUUUUUAAUCACGUAAAAAUAUAUUACUGUAUGUAUAAAAUA